UACGUAGGGGGCAAGCGUUGUCCGGAUUUAUUGGGCGUAAAGCGCGCGUAGGCGGAUCUGCAAGUCGGGGGUGAAAUCCCGAGGCUCAACCUCGGAACUGCCUUCGAUACUGCGGGUCUCGAGUCCGGGAGAGGUGAGUGGAAUUCCUAGUGUAGAGGUGAAAUUCGUAGAUAUUCGCAAGAACACCAGUGGCGAAGGCGGCUCACUGGCCCGAUACUGACGCUGAGGCACGAAAGCGUGGGGAGCAAACAGG
rnacentral:rRNA from 1 species